UACGGAGGGGGUUAGCGUUGUUCGGAAUUACUGGGCGUAAAGCGCACGUAGGCGGAUCAGAAAGUUGGGGGUGAAAUCCCGGGGCUCAACCCCGGAACGGCCUCCAAAACUCCUGGUCUUGAGUUCGAGAGAGGUGAGUGGAAUUCCUAGUGUAGAGGUGAAAUUCGUAGAUAUUCGGAGGAACACCAGUGGCGAAGGCGGCUCACUGGCUCGAUACUGACGCUGAGGUGCGAAAGUGUGGGGAGCAAACAGGAUUAGAUACCCCCCGUAGUCCCUGAGCGGGCUGGCAA
rnacentral:rRNA from 1 species